GCGGGUAUGGCGGAAUUGGCAGACGCACUAGACUUAGGAUCUAGCGGGGCAACCCUUGCAGGUUCAACUCCUGUUACCCGCACCA
rnacentral:tRNA from 1 species